AUGGACAGGAAGAAGCGCGAGUUCCGCAACCUCACCCAAGGUAACAAGACUGUGGAUGCUUAUCAGCGGGAGUUCCUUGACCUGUCCCGCUAUGCUGAAGAUGACAUUGCCACUGAUGCAUGUAAACAAGAAAAGUUUCGUGAUGGACUUCAAGCUGAUAUCAAACUAGCGCUCCUCAUGCAUGACUUUGCUGAUUUCGCCACCUUGGCGAACAAGGCCAUUCAGGUCGAAACUGGUCUGCAGGAGCACCUCGGAUCCCUCAGGCGCAACCGUGAUGCGGGUUCAUCUUCGGGCCCGUCAUCGCAGAAGCGUAAGAUAUGGAUCCCCCACAGCAUGUAUCCACCAGCUGCCCCUGCACCAAGACAGACCCAUGCUGCACCUCGUCUUCCUCCUCCACCACCUGGACAGCCGAGACUUCAAGCUCCUGCUUCCCGUCCCAAUGAUGGGCUAUGCUUCAAGUGUGGUCAACCAGGACACUGUGCCAGGGACUGCUCUCAGAAUCAGUACCGGCUUGCACUUCCUCAAACUAGCCGUGGUAACAAUCAGCCCCGCAACAACAAUGUCAGGCCUUAUGGUCGUGGUCAAGCCAACCACAUUGAUCUGAAUGAAGCUCAAGACCAGCCUGCUACGGUGUUGGGUACUCUUCUUGUUAACUCAGUACCAGCUUCUGUUUUAUUCGAUCCAGGAGCAUCGCAUUCUUUCAUUUCUGAAGAUUUUGCAUCCAUGCAUGGCCUUAAAUUCGCAGUAAUGAACAACCCGCUAGUGGUACACACCCCCGCGGGCCAAUGUCGGACCACCAUGGUUAGCCUCAAUGUCCCUGUUGAAAUUGAAGGGCUGGAAUUCCAUGUUUCCCCCAUUGUUUUGAAGUCGUCCAAUAUCGACCUCAUUCUAGGAAUGGAAUGGUUGAAAACACAUACCGCUUCUAUCAUUUGCACCACUAAAACCGUGCAUCUACUAAGUGAGAUAGUGAGCUACCAUGCUCACCUUGUUCGGAAUGCCGAGGCACGGAUUUAUUCCUUGGAUGCGUGA
rnacentral:rRNA from 1 species